CAGGGAGACAAAAAUAGAUCUUGAUGUCUGAGUAAUUAAAUCUCAGGCCCUGAUCCUGUCACCUUAAGGUCGAUCGGUACCUCAAAUUAAUUACUUAAAUAGAUUGAUUAUUCAAUCUAUUUAAGUAAUUAAUUUCAGUUCCUAAACUUUGUCUAGGUCACAUCCCGCAAGGGUUACUCCUGGGCCAUUAGCUCAGGUGGUUAGAGCGCACCCCUGAUAAGGGUGAGGUCCCUGGUUCAAGUCCAGGAUGGCCCAUUCGGUGUUGGGGGUUUAGCUCAGUUGGUAGAGCGCCUGCUUUGCAAGCAGGAUGUCAGCGGUUCGAGUCCGCUAACCUCCACUGGUAGACCGUCUUCAACGAAAAUUGUUGAGGAGAACUUGCUUGAGAUUUGACUUAGAUUUAUUCAGCUGAAGGAACCUAGCUUCUUGUCAUUCCAGAUCUAUUAGAAAAUUAGUUUUGGUUGAAAGGAUGCUGGGCUCAAGUGAUUUUUAAUCACUGCCUAGUUCAGCAGAACCUUGAAAACUGCAUAGGUAAGUCUGGAAAGAAUAAAAGCAUCUCAUGGAUACUUUAUUAUCUUCAUAGAUCUAAGUCUUUUAAGAAAUUAUUCGACUUAAAAACUAGAAAGAUAUAGAGUUCAAAUUCUUGAGUUAAGAGCUGAGAGCUUAUAGCGUCUUUUUUUACUUAUAAUUUAAGUAUAAAGAGUUUGAUUGAUUAUUUAACUUGCUUAAUGUAACUGACUCCUUUGGGUCUCAGAUGCUUGCAAAUAAAUAAUUAAAAAUACGUUAUCAACAACGUCAAACGCUAUAAAGACUAUAU
rnacentral:tRNA from 1 species